CUCUCUCACACACACACACUCUCUCACACACACACACACACACACACAGCGGGGCUGGUUCACUGAGGGUACAGGAGGCUGUCCCGCAGCACAGUCUGUACAGAUCAUUACAGCUUGCCUGCACAUUCGUCCAAUCGAUGCAAACACAGCAUAGGCCUACUGUGAUGUGGCAGGCGUUUCUGUUUUUUGUCCGAUACCCGGCUGUAAGAGUUUCUAGCCCACCUGCCCUCUUACAAAACAAGAAUGAAAGAAAUGCGGCUUGCUGUCACACAGUUAUGAAAUGAUUUCUGCCUCAGUGCGUUUCAAACUCUUCUUUGUUCUGAGCUGCCUGGAUGACCAUUACUGUGCUCUGGGUUUUAGACCCAAUCUCAGCAGCGGAGCAUCAUGAAAGCUGCCGUGCCCACAAGCAUGUCCAAUACUGUACUGAUAUCUUGUAACAAUUGUCAGUCGCCCUGGAUAAGGGCGUCUGCUAAGAAAGAAAUCAUAAUAAUAAUAAUAAUACUGUAAUAUGUUAUACCUCGGUGUCCGUUUACUACAUGGUUCAGUUUGCCUCUCGCUAUAAUAUUGUAGCGAUCUCGGUUAACACAGACAUUAAUAUAUUUUCAUUACAAACUCUGCUUGGCAGUAUUUCGCGUUGCAAUAUUGAUAGCACGUCGAUAGUAACAUUUUCCUGUAAAAGUUAAAGCAGUUGCUGUUGACACCCAUAGAGCACAACUACGCCACCAGCAUUUAAACAAAGCAUGUUUAAAUUCUGCGGUACCAGAACUCUGGGAAACCAGCUGUUCAUCCAGCGCGGAAGGCAACCUACAGACAGAAACAGUCAGAAGUGAAUCAUUUAAUCAGCUGGACUGUCUGCUGAACAGGAAAGAAGAGACACAGGCAUCGAAUUAAGGUAAGCGUGCAGGACACAACCCGGGGAUUAACGUUGUGUUUUACAGCUCGGGUUACAAUGGUUUUGUGCAAUGCUGUGAGUGCGUAUAGAGGAGCGGUGAUGUACCGCCAGCAGCCCUUUCCCGGAUACAUUAGUACCUGCACCAGUUCAAAAUGUGUGUAUUCUGACCGUGCAACGGGCACUGUUCGUAUAACCUCCGAAACAAAUCGAUUUCUCUCCAGUGUCCAGGUGAAAUGAAACAGACUAGAAAGACAUGCAAAGUGACUGCAGUACUGCUCCUUAAAAAACAAAAUAUACAACUGUUUGUUAUAAUAUGCUUCUUCAAAACCGCAUAACAAACAUUUUUUUUUACAUUAAGUAGCCUAUCAAGUAAUGGAAUAAUUCAGUAUUUUCACGUGCUUGAUUUUUAACUGGGAAUUUAAAGAAAGGACCUUGUAUAUAUUGUAGUUGUAUAAAUACAAAGAAUCUGUGCUUGAAAAUCAGUGAAUCAGUCAGACGUGUGUGUCUUAAGUACUCCAGUCCUGUAUUGGAUGACGUCAAGUUUAGGGUUAGAUUUGAGAAUACAGGCAUAUGGCAAUGCUGGCCAAGCUGGCUGCUGGAUUCCUAUCUCAACAUCACAUUAACUUGGGUAGUUUCCCUGCUUCUGGAGAGGCUGGUCACUAUGGGGUGCAAAAGCAUUUCACUCCAGCAGUCGGAGCCCUCGUAAAAUAUUAAAAUCAAACAGAGUACUUGGGAAGUGUGCCCCUUAGAGCCCAAAGGGACAUUGUUGGGUAUUAAAACAUUUCCUGGAUUCAUAACAGACAACACAGAGCUGUGGAUUCUUUAGGAGACUGGAUCCCUGAAAGAAUCCACAGCCGUCAUAUUCUUGUUUUCUGAAUGAAUAUCAGUUGAAUCAGAAAACAACUCAAGGUGGUGAAUCGCUGUGUAAAUAAUGCACGGUUCUCAUGUCUGACCACGUCUUAUUAAUGAUUCUACUCGGAAACUGAAAUGUGAUGCUCGUGAAUUGGAACGCAGAUGGAAGAAUUCCAAACUGCGUGUUCAUUAUCUUGCAUGGAAAAGCCACUGAGUUAAAUAUAAGAAGGCUUUGUCCCAGGCUAGAUCUUUAUACUAGUCUAACCUGAUUGAAAAAAAUAAAAAUAACCCUGGAUUUCUUUCUGCAUCUAUAGAUAAAUGAGUAAAUUCACCUGCUGUUGCUUCUACCUCUAAUAUUGGUUCAGUUUUUAAAAUUCUUUCAAAAUAAAAUUCUUGACAUUAGUGAUCAGAUCUUAUAGACUCCUUCUAUUAUGGGCCUUUCUUCCUACUUUGAAUUAGCUAGACCUGAUAAAACUACGAUGGAGGCUUUCUCGUUGGUUACUUUGCAAGAGCUGACAGCGUUAGUUAGGCAUAUGAGACCAACCACUUGUGCCCUUGAUCCUAUUUCUACUAAACUAUUAAAAUAUGUAUUUAGUGUUGCUAAUAUAGGCAUUUUAACAAUUAGAAAUGAAUCACUUUCAUCUGGUAUAGUUCCCUCUGCACGUAAGGUUGCAGUGGUUAAACCCCAACUUAAAAAAGUCAUUUGGAUCCUACAGUUAUUAAGAACUAUAGGCCAAUUUCCAAUCUUCCAUUUUAGCCAAGGUCUUGGAGAAAGUUUUUGCCAAUCAAUUACUCACAUUUUUAGCUUGUAAUGGUUUAUCUGAGAAAUUUCAGUCUGGAUUUCGAUCUGCACAUAGCACUGAGACGGCUCUUGUUAGGGUAGUAAAUGAUCUUUUGAUAAGCUCAGACUCUGGCUUUCCUUCAGUUUGAAUUCUUCUUGAUCUUAGCGCUGCCUUUGAUACUGUGGACCAUUCCAUUCUAUUAAAUCGGCUUGGGAGUUUAGUGGGUUUGACAGACGGUGUCCAUUCUUGGUUUAGGUCUUAUCUUUUCGAUAGGUUUCAGUAUGUUUCUGUCGGGGAGAUUAUUAUUAUUAUUAUUAUUAUUAUUAUUAUUAUUAUUUCUUUCUUAGCAGACGCCCUUAUCCAGGGCGACUUACAAUUGUUACAAAAUAUCACAUUAUUUUUACAUAAAAUUACAUUAUUUUUUACACAUUAUUUUUACAUACAAUUACCCAUUUAUACAGUUGGGUUUUUACUGGAGCAAUCUAAGUAAAGUACCUUGUCUUUCAAUCCAGGCAAUCCCUCUACUGGGGCGCUAUUAGCUGCUUACUUUGCGGACAUAAAGUUUUGGAUGUCUCAGAAUUUUCUGAUGUUGAAUUCUGAUAAAACAGAGGUCAUGCUUGUGACACAGAUGAACUUGAAACACCGCACAGGUGCCCAGUUUUAUUCCGGGUAGGUAAUUCCUCUUUUCAGCCCGCAGAGGGCGCUGUUGGCCGUGGUCUGCCUACCAACCAUGGUAAAAACAGAACCACAACAAUACCAGAGGCGGUAAAGAAUUCAGAAUACAGGUGCAGGCGCACUCACAGGUGCUCAACAAAAGAAUAAUCAAAAGGCGAAAGAAAAAAGGAAAAUAAAACACAGUAAUCAAAACUACAAAUAAAAGGUGCUGCACUCGGCAGCUUCACCCCGACCGUCGCUACCCACACGGUCCGGGUCUCCAUCCUACCCUCACCACUCCCUCAGUCUGUUAAUAAAAAUACUGAUGGGGUCUGCCCACGGUUUUCCUCGCUACCCCUAUUCUCUUUUGUUGGGUUCUUUUUUUUUCUUUUCAGAUUUUUCCUUUCCGGCCGUGUCUCAGUUCUGGACCAGAGCGUCCGCACGUCUCUUAGAAGGGCAGACCUGAGGAAACAGCAGAAUGUUAUUUUAUAGGGCAAGCAAUCCCCCCAGAGAGGGCUUUCCUCAGAGAGAAGGAAAGCCCACACACCCUCUCUCCCACCUCUCUGUGUCCUGACCAACAGGAGGAUAUUGAACGGCUGCUGCCCUCUUCCUGCAGCACUUUGAAUACACCAGAAGAGUCAGCACAGGUCUCCCCUGUUACAGUCCCAUAUUAGGAAAAUUACUAAAGCAUCUUAUUAUCAUUUGAGAAAUAUAGCUAAACUUAGAUCUAUUAUGCAUCUAAUGCAUGCCUUUGUUUCAUCAAGAAUCAACUAUUGUAAUGCACUUUUUCUGGGAUUCCAAAGUAGUAUUUGGUGUCUCGCUUGAAGCUUAUUCAGAAUGCUGCUGCAAGAAUUCUAACUAAAACCAGAAAAGGUGAACAUAUUACUCCUGUCUUGGCCUCCUUACAUUGGCUUCCUGUGCAGUUUUGAAUUUAUUUUAAGAUCUUAUUUUUAACUUAUAAAGCUCUUAAUGGAUUAGCACCCAGUUAUUUACAAGAGCUGUUGACCCCAUACAUUCCUAAAAGGAAUCUUAGCUCUCAGGAUGCAGGGCUCGUGGUUAUUCCAAGGAUAAAUACUAAUAGUAUGCUAUUUGAAUGUUUUAUUAUCCUGUGUGUAUUAUGUUUUCUGUAAAGCACCUUGGAGUCUAUGACGUAAGGUGCUAUAUAAAUAAAUAAGAAAAAAACUAUUUAUUUAUUUAUUUAUUUAUCCCUUAAAUAUAUUAAACAAAAUAAUUAAAAUAAACUGUUCUUCAAAUUAUACAUAAGAUAAAUACAAUUUCAAUAUCCAAUUUCCACAAAGUUUAGUUUAGUUUAGUUUCCUCUAAGUAUUUUGGUGCCCAUUAGCUGAGUCUUGCACAGUCAGUGAACAAUAGAAUGCUGUGUGUUCUCAAUGUGGACACAAAUCCUUCAUAGAUCUUUAGAAUCUUCCUUUCGAUUCUUUUUGUUGUUCUGGUUUAGUGACAGAUCUAUAUUCCCUAUAGGAGAUUCCAGUCUUGCACUACCGUCAGCGCAUUGGGAGCAGAAGGUGAAUAUUUAUUCAUCUCACUCGCUGCAAUCCAGGAGGAAUCAACCAAGGCAGAGCAAAUGGAUAAUGGAGACUGGGGCUACAUGCACCUUCGUAAACGCUCAUACAGAUCGAUGAAUCACCUGUUUACACCUCGUUACUGAGUGACUAACUGUACUGUGUGUUGAUCUGACACUGACUGCAUCAGACGGGAUGACAGAGGAAAACAUUCUCUCAGCUGUGUCACCUUGCCAACCAUGAAGCUGUGCCUGAAACUGACACCGAUGACACAAGUAGAAUGUUUAUUUUAUUGUGCAUUACAUGUGUUGCUAUUUACAAAAAUGCUGGCUGGCUAUGAAUUA